rnacentral:rRNA from 1 species
UACGUAGGGUGCAAGCGUUAAUCGGAAUUACUGGGCGUAAAGCGUGCGCAGGCGGUGAUGUAAGACAGUUGUGAAAUCCCCGGGCUCAACCUGGGAACUGCAUCUGUGACUGCAUUGCUGGAGUGCGGCAGAGGGGGAUGGAGUUCCGCGUGUAGCAGUGAAAUGCGUAGAUAUGCGGAGGAACACCGAUGGCGAGGGCAGCCCCCUGGGCCGACACUGACGCUCAGGCACGAAAGCGUGGGGAGCAGACAGG